rnacentral:lncRNA from 1 species
AUUAAAACUUUGUGUGCUUUUGAAAUUCUUGGCAUUUAUGCAUUUGAAAUUAGAUUUUAUAAAACAAUAAACUCUUUGAGUAGAGACAACAGUUUGUGGGUAUCUGAGCCGGAAAUCCUUACGAGACAAAACUCGUCCACUAGGGCCACCUAGGGGUUUAAAGCCUUAUUACAUACGGUAAAUGCAAUCGCGAUUCCUGCGAAAGUGAGUU